AAUAGGGGUAAUUAAGUCAUUUUGAAGGAUUACUAUAUAUACUCGAGGCAGCCAUUGCUUGUAAAGUUGGUGGUCGCCGUUCACUUCAACGAUGAACUCAACACUCAGUUUAAACCGACCGGUUCAAAAUUAUACUCUCGGCAGCUUUAAAAACCCUAAAUUGAUCGAAGCUAGGCCUUCUAGACAUCAGUUAUGUUCUCAUUUGAUCGACUUUUCAAAGCUUAAAUGGUUCGGAAAUGUAAAUUCGAGGACCGGUUCGAGUGUUCAGCAGCAGCUACGAGAUUACUCGGGUGAAUCGAGAAGAAUUACGUCUCGUCGAAUUAGGGUUUCGUCCAACGAUGCUCAGUUCGGUUCGUUUCCUAACAAAGGCGGGACUGAGUCAUCGAGUUUUGCCGAGUUUAUCACAUCCGAGCGUGUUAAAGUGGUGGCGAUGCUGGCUUUAUCUCUGGCGCUUUGUAAUGCGGAUAGAGUCGUGAUGUCAGUGGCGAUUGUGCCGUUGUCACUUGCUCAUGGGUGGAGCCGGUCGUUUUCCGGUAUUGUUCAGUCAUCCUUUCUGUGGGGUUACUUAAUUUCACCAAUAGCAGGAGGGACAUUAGUGGACUAUUAUGGUGGUAAGGCUGUAAUGGCAUGUGGUGUGACAUUGUGGUCAUUAGCUACAUUUCUUACACCCUGGGCUGCUGAAAACUCUUUAUUGGCAUUACUUUUUGCAAGAGCUAUGCUUGGUGUUGCAGAAGGUGUAGCUCUUCCUUGCAUGAACAAUAUGAUAGCAAGAUGGUUUCCAUCAACAGAACGUGCAAGGGCUGUUGCAAUGGCAAUGGCUGGGUUUCAGCUUGGAAAUGCAAUAGGACUCACUUUGUCCCCAAUUCUCAUGUCCCAAGGUGGUAUAUUCGGACCAUUUGUGAUAUUCGGACUGUGUGGAUUUCUUUGGGUUUUAGUAUGGCUAUCUGCAACCUCAAGUACCCCCGAUCGAAGUCCCCAGAUCUCAAAAUAUGAGUUGGAUUACAUAAUGAACAAGAGACAGAAAUCCCAUGCAGUGGAAAGCAAGCCUAAGACCAAAAUGAUCCCUCCAUUCAGAAGAUUGCUUUCUAAAAUGCCAACAUGGUCCCUAAUUGUUGCAAAUGCCAUGCAUAGCUGGGGCUUCUUUGUUAUUCUCUCAUGGAUGCCUAUCUACUUUAACUCGGUCCAUCAUGUUGAUCUCAGACAAGCAGCAUGGUUUAGUGCUGUUCCAUGGUGCAUGAUGGCACUAACAGGAUACUUAGCUGGUUUAUGGUCAGACACAUUGAUAAGGAAUGGUACCAGUAUCACUUUGACUCGCAAGAUCAUGCAGUCCAUUGGUUUUGUUGGUCCUGCGGUUGCUCUUGUUGGCUUAACUGCAGCAAAAACUCCUUCAACUGCAUCUGCUUGGCUCAGUCUAGCUGUUGGACUUAAAGCAUUCAGUCAUUGUGGUUUCCUUGUCAACCUUCAGGAGAUUGCUCCACAUUAUUCUGGUGUUUUACACGGAUUGUCAAAUACUGCCGGAACAUUCGCUGCUAUUUUUGGAACGGUUGGAGCUGGUUUCUUUGUGGAGCUGGUGGGAUCAUUCCAAGGAUUUUUGUUGCUUACAUCGCUCUUAUACUUCCUUGCUGCUCUAUUCUACAUUAAAUUUUCCACUGGAGAGAGAGUCAACUUUGAUGAAUCUGGUCAGUAUCAUAGCCACCAUAUAAAUACUUAAGUCUCUACCAGGCUUCAGAUAUGAAUGAAUGGUAAUUUGUAAUAACAGGGUGCUCAAACUCAAGAUUCAUGAACAAGUUUUUAGACUUGUGGUACUAAACCUUAGUUGUUGAGGAUGCGUGUGGAGCGUGAAGUGUGAAGUCAUCUAGGGCAAGAAGAGAAGGGUGAGCAGUAAAUCUUGUAAAAUAAUAAUAAUAAUAAUGGUGCUGUUAGUUUCUUGUAUAAAGCCAGAGAAAUGUGUAGUACAUAUUUUUUACUAUCCGAGUGUGCAUCAAAAUCUGAUUAUCUGAAAGAUAAAAUCUAGAAAGUUAUAAAUGCUGAAAGCUGUCAUCAAUCUCUCCACCUUGCUUUCGGUGAUUGAUUUGUAGGCUCUGCACAAUGAGUUGCUGCAGAUGAGCGCCAUCAAUGGAAUAGAUGUAAUAUAUACACUCAAAUUUGUUAGUAGUAUGAUAUAUGGAAUAUAUAAGUUUAAAUUAUAAACAAAA